UAUAAUAUACGAGAGACCAGAUACACGUCCACUGCUUCUCAGUGAACCUGUAUCCCUGUAGUGCCUGUCUCGCAGCCAGCUGCUCCCGCAAACUCGCAAAAGUGUGACUCGAGAGUAGGGAUUGAGCGUGCAAAACACCUUGGAGCCGUCUCAGUUACGCCGGUGGGUAACACACAGUAUCGAACAAGCUGAGUCAACGCGUUCAUCGUUCGUUCAACGAACAUACUUCUCUGCAUACACGCAGGAGGCGUGAAAGUAGCGGUGAAUUGAUUAAACUUGCACGGUUUAAUGAAUCGUUGCCAUCUUGACGAUCAAUUUGCGAACGAGGAUUCACCUUCGUCUAGGUUUACCUUGCUCGCUUCCUGACUCGGUAGUCACAUCAAAAUUGCAGUCGUUGUUGCUGUACGAGCGAACACAGACAUGCACGAUCAUGAGCAGGUAUAUUUGAAGUACGCAAGGCGCAGCCGAUAGCCCAAGGGGCAGUUUUGUCCUCGAAUAACGUGCCGUCCCUCCCAGGUAGACGCUCACCUCGAUAUUCCUGGAGUACACCACGUGUAUUGUGUAUGUAGGACGACUCGAUCGGAUU